AGUUCUACUGCAUUCAACACUAUCAGGAUAUUGAGAAUGCCAGUUUUGGAUUAGGAGAAGAUAUCGGUCAUGCAAUGGGUAUAGGACCAGGAGUACAACAGCAAUUUAAAUUUACACCAGGCUAUCAGUACCCAGAGCUAUUUUUGGAAGUCUUUCCAUGGGGUAACCCCACCCUAACCCUACAGAUAUGCCAGAUGUCCAAGUCUCAAUUGAAGAAAGAGAUGUCCCAGUGGUUGGAGACACUGUAGACUUC